AGGAGGAACAGCCCCAGUGGCGGGGCCAGCUCUGGAAACCUGGAUUCAGCCCCCGCAGUAACUCCGGAGCUCUCCGUCUGCAGGGCCUGGAGGCUCCGGGGCGGG
rnacentral:pre_miRNA from 1 species